rnacentral:rRNA from 1 species
AUAUUAUUAAGCGGAGGAAAAGAAACUAACAAGGAUUCCCCUAGUAACGGCGAGUGAAGCGGGAAAAGCUCAAAUUUGAAAUCUCCCUGGUCUCCAGGGCGAAUUGUAGUUGAAAGAAGCGUUUUCGAGGUGGGUUCGGGUCAAAGUCGUCUGGAACGACGCAUCAUGGAGGGUGAGAAUCCCGUUCAUGGUCCGAGGUCCCGCCUCAUGUGAUACGCUCUCUACGAGUCGGGUUGUUUGGGAUUGCAGCCCUAAAUGGGUGGUAAAUACCAUCUAAAGCUAAAUACAAGCAAGAGACCGAUAGCGCACAAGUA